AACGAACGCUGGCGGCAUGCCUAACACAUGCAAGUCGAACGAACCCUUCGGGGUGAGUGGCGCACGGGUGCGUAACGCGUGGGAAUCUGCCCUGGGGUGCGGAAUAACGUUCCGAAAGGAACGCUAAUACCGCAUAAUGUCUUCGGACCAAAGAUUUAUCGCCCUGGGAUGAGCCCGCGUAGGAUUAGCUAGUUGGUGAGGUAAAAGCUCACCAAGGCGACGAUCCUUAGCUGGUCUGAGAGGAUGAUCAGCCACACUGGGACUGAGACACGGCCCAGACUCCUACGGGAGGCAGCAGUGGGGAAUAUUGGACAAUGGGCGAAAGCCUGAUCCAGCAAUGCCGCGUGAGUGAUGAAGGCCUUAGGGUUGUAAAGCUCUUUUGCCAGGGAUGAUAAUGACAGUACCUGGAGAAUAAGCUCCGGCUAACUCCGUG
rnacentral:rRNA from 1 species